ACCAAUUCUGGAAAAGCAAACGCGACGAUUACUGGAAUAUUCUCAUUGGGAACGGAGACGAUGAUCUUACAUCUCCUCUAGAAGAGAUAGCUUACUUGUGGAAUAAACUUUCUCUCGCUCGCCACGUUUCGCCCUUUUCCCCCAUCGCUAUGCCCGUUUGUUCUCGACAAGAGGAGCGUGGUCGAGCGAUCUCCAGGGAAAAGACGGACCAGACGAUUCGAGAGAGAAGCUGCGAAUGACACGCGGAAAUGAGGGUACGGUCUCGAGGACGAAUUCAAACUCGGCGAAUCUCGAUUACGAACAAGCCGGUCGCGGCGGAAAUUCAACGGAAAGGAAUCUCCCCUCGAAAGGACAAGGUUUUCGGGCUGAAUUCUCCAAGCAUACGUGAGUCCCCGGAAGCGUAUGCUUCGAGCACCGGUGGGCGUCCACCGCGCGGAUUUAUCGACUAAUCGGUAACAGGUGCCUGGCAGGAGCCGAUAGCGUUAAAAUAAAUCACUGCAGGGUCGUGGAGCGAAACGAUCCCACGAACACACGAACGCAAAGGGAGGACUUUGUCGUAG